rnacentral:rRNA from 1 species
UACAGAGACUGCAAGCGUUAUUUGGAUUCACUGGGCGUAAAGGGUGCGCAGGCGGCCAAGUGUGUCAGGUGUGAAAUCCCGAGGCUUAACCUCGGAACUGCGCCUGAAACUACUUGGCUAGAGUACUGGAGAGGGUAACGGAAUUCACGGUGUAGCAGUGAAAUGCGUAGAUAUCGUGAGGAACACCAGAGGCGAAGGCGGUUACCUGGACAGUUACUGACGCUCAGGCACGAAAGCGUGGGGAGCAAAAGGG